CGCGAGCGAGUCGUCUGCCGUUGCGUGUCGUUGUUGUCGCGCGUGUCGAUCAUCUCUCGGAGUUCGUGCGAGAAAAUCGGAGCGCAUAAACUGAUCCCCGCGAUAACUGCCUUCCCGUAGCUGUGAAGUGGCCGAACCCGAGUAACCCGGGUCUCUGCCCUCGGUGCGAAUCGCCGCGACCGCAGGCAGGCGUCGUCGUCGUUGACGGAGCCAGCGAGCGACGAACGGACGGACGGACGGACACGGUUGAAGAUGUGCGGCGGUUUUACGUGCUCGAAAAAUGCGCUGACAGCACUCAACAUCCUCUACAUCGUUGUUGCCUUUAUAUUGAUAGGAGUUGCUGUGUAUGGAAGGGCAUCCGCCUUAGUGACGAAUCUACCUAUUAUAGGUGGUAUUUUGGCAUGCGGGGUGAUCCUGUUCCUCAUUUCUAUACUGGGCCUGAUCGGUGCUGUUAAACACCAUCAGGUCUUGCUGUUCUUCUACAUGCUUAUUUUGUUCCUUUUGUUCCUGAUUCAAUUCAGCAUCGCCUGCGCCUGCCUUGCUGUCAAUACUAAGCAACAAGAACAGCUUGCAGAACAGGGCUGGAGACACGUCGGACCUGACUUAAGGGCAAAAGUUCAAACUACCUUUAACUGCUGUGGAUUUAAUAGCACUACCGAUGAUCCAAGUGUACCUUGCGAUGAUGUCAAUAAAGUGUGUUGUCAAUCCGUCGAUAUCGGUCAGUCUUGUCCACCUUGUCCAACGUGUAUGCACAAGUUGCAGUCCACCAUUGACUAUGCGUUCAAAUUAUGCGGCAGUAUAGGAUUAUUCUUUAGUUUUACAGAGUUUGUUGGUGUAUGGUUGACCGUGAGGUACCGGAACCAGAAAGAUCCACGAGCUAAUCCUAGUGCUUUUCUCUAGUCUAACACCAUCGCCAUGUCCUCUGUCACUUCAUACGAUCCUCCUAACAGAUGGUGAUUGCAGCUUUCAUGGCAAGACAUUAUCGUAAUCAAUUAGAUCCACAAGAAAAAGCUGCAAGAGCCAUUUUUCCACAGCACAAUUAUUUAUAUUGAUUUAGCGAUACAUUCGAAUAGAAAAUCAAUAAUCUUUCUUUUUACUCGUAUUAUACGUACGAUAUGUAUUUUGGUCGAUAUGAAGAGGGGACAAAUAUCUGUAAUUAAUUUUAAUUUUGAUUGCCUGGAUAUGUGUUAUGCGACAUAUUUUCCAAGAUUUAAGUUUCAAACUUUUUCUUUUAAUUCUCUAAAUCUUUUUAAUUAUACAUGCUCAAUAGUGACAGAAGUUAAUACAUUUUUUAACUGGGCAAUCAUAGAUUUUAGAAUGAGUUAGACAAAUAAUUGAACUGUGCUCUAGUCAUAUACUUAGAACACUCAUAACAAGCCUCAAUGCGCCUUGUAGUCUAGUGACAGAAAACAUCGCGUAAGUAUAAAUUUCGUUGCAUUAUUUUCUUCAACACGUCCUUGACGAUAAUGGAAGUUGGCGAUGUGAAAAAUAGUAGUGUCAUAAUUGUAUCGUUUGGUUCCACAAUACGGAUAAACUACAACAUUUAAAGCUAUUCUAAAAGAUAUCGAAAAUAACGAAAAAACCGGUAUAUAUGCAGUGAUAUCCAUUUUUUUAAAUAUAUUUUCAUGAGAGAAUGUAGUUUAUCAUGGUAAAAGUAUAGAUAACAUCUACGAUCUUGUCAAUCAUAUUUUUCUCCCAUCUCUACAAGUGAAUCAUUAGAUAUAUAAUUAUAUUUAAUUAUACCUAGAAAUUUAUAUCUUCCUGAAGAAAAAUUCUGUCAUAUCAUCUUUGAGUACUUUUAGAUAACUUUAUAAUAUUUUUAUGUCUCUGCAAAGAGGUUCUUUUUUAUAUUUUAAAAUGUUCUACAGCGUUACGAUGUGUGAUUUCUGUUUAAGAAAUUGUAAAUCAAAAUAAUCGGAAGAGAAAUUGUAAUAUACUCUCACAACAAAUGAUAUCUAACUUGGAUGAAACUUGGCUUGCUUUCGACAGCUUUCAUACACUUGCUUAUGAUAUCGCGUGAUAGAGACUCACAUGAUAAGAAGUUAUACUUGAAGCGUAUAACCAUCGAAUUAUUUAUGUUAUGAUAAUGCCGUCAACAAGAUAAUAUAAAAUCUAUCGUAUUUCAAGUUUCAUCCACCAAAAAUAUUCAAUGCGAGUGCUUUGCUUGAAAUUAAAUUCUAUGCUGAUUAUACAUUUUGAGAAAAUUUACGCAUAAUAAGCUGAAUAUAAGACGUCCUAAACAACCUGGUGGGAAGUUAUUAAAAAACUAAUAGUCUCGCUUUUUUGCAGGGUUUUUAAUGAGUUCUCGUACGCUUUUAAGCUUUUGUGGUCGUAAGGAGGAGUUGAAAGGGAAGUAUUUAGAUCAUCUUAUCAAAUAUUACUGAACAUGAUCGCAUUUAAUGGGAGCGAAAAUUGUAUUUUAUUCGUAAUGAAAGAUGACAUUUGUUUAAUGACUUGUGAGAUAAUAUCCUUCCAGGUUUUUUCGGACAAGAUUUGCAUAAGAUAGGUAAAACUCGUUACAAGAGACACAGUGUUGUGAAUUAAUGUGCAUGAAAAUAUUGUACGUUUACAUCGUGCCCUAUAUUCUAGGUAUUAGAGAAUAUAGCAUAUUUUCUAUCCAAUCCCGUCGCGUGAGACGCAGAUGGGACGAAUCUCGUUGUAGUUAUGUUUCCGAGAGUCUCUUUGUUUGAAAAAAGCAUGUGUUAAGAUAUUUUAUUACAAUUAUAUCACGUCUUCGAUGUUCAAUAACGAAUUGAACUUGUUGCUUUAUCGUGUUUAAAUUCUAAGAAUACAAUAGAACAAAAAUUGAACAAAAUGGAAUUUGUUAUUGAAUGAUAAAAUUGUAGUUUGACGUCGCACGUUUGAUGAUUUUUUUUUUAUUUGUGGAAUAUGUUGCUUUCACAAAUUUUCCAAUAUCGUUCCAACGAACGGUGCGAGUUCGCGCAAAUUCACGAAGUUAUGCCAGUCACGUUUUACGAAUAGUGGAAAAUAACCCGUGGAUAUAUCUUCCGACGUAAGCGUAUGAGAUAAAAUCACGCAAACAUUCCAAUUUUUUUUAUGCGCCUCUCUCCCCCGGCUUUGGUAGAAAACGUGUAUGUACCAUAUGUACUUUGCACGUGCACGGAAUAGAAAACUCGUACGAGAAUAUAUAUAUAUAUAUAUAUAUAUAUAUAUAUUAUAUAUAUACGGUAGUGUAAUUCCUAUAUACAUAUUUUUACCUAAAAAGAAAAUACGUAUCCAUUCAUAAUUAGACUUAACCUACUGUACGUAUGUCCUGAGAGGUAAGAACAAUCGAGACAUGCACGUGGGAGUGAUUCACACGCAAGUUAUUAUGUGUGUUAUUAUACUGAAAGAUGGAACGACGUAAGCUGCGCCCGAUUAUAUUAUAUGUAUAAUGUGCGUGCGUGUGAGAGAGGAAUCUCUCAAAAUCAAAAUCUGAUAUGUGGAAGGAGGUUUGAGUAUUCGACAAUCCUAGGUGACGGAAAUCAUGUACUGUACACAUCAGAGAUCAUAUUCGAAUUAUAUUCAAUUUAUCUGCUCACCGAAUGUCCCAAUUCAGUUCUGUAGAUUCAUUCUUUGUAAUCGCGUGUUACAUCAUCACACCUAAAGUUAAAAUAAAAUAGAAACGUAUAUAUAUAAUUGAGUGUUGGGCGGUGAAAGAUAGAAAGUGCAAAGGGCGAUAUGUCAUGUAUAUCAUCUCCAAAGAAUUCGAGGCAUCGCCUAACCCGAAGAUUCGAAAUUUAUCGAGUUUCGAGAGUACGACGUUUAAGUCCGAUAUUCGCGCAUUCCGCAACAGACGACAAACAAUCUCGAAUAUGUUAAGCAUGAGGAUUUAAAGAAUUUUAGUUACGAGAUAGCGAAGCAUAUUAUGUAUGCAUGGCGCCGAAGAAAUAUCGAGGGCUAAACGAUUAUGAGCAAUAGAGUCUUAAGUGUUAGAACUCUCGUGUAACGCGAUUGCGAUAAUAAAUAGAUGGCGGCUCGGAUGUUAUGUAUGUAUUUAAUGUUGGUGGAAGUAUCUCUUGAACACAAUCGAAAUCGAGAGAUGCGCCUAUUAAAAAUAUACCAAAUUCACGAAACAA